rnacentral:rRNA from 1 species
CCAGACUCCUACGGGAGGCAGCAGUGAGGAAUCUUCCACAAUGGGCGAAAGCCUGAUGGAGCAACGCCGCGUGCAGGACGAAGGCCUUCGGGUUGUAAACUGCUUUUAUAAGUGAGGAAUAUGACGGUAACUUAUGAAUAAGGAUCGGCUAACUACGUGCCAGCAGCCGCGGUCAUACGUAGGAUCCGAGCGUUAUCCGGAGUGACUGGGCGUAAAGAGUUGCGUAGGCGGUUGUAUAAGUGAAUAGUGAAAUCUGGUGGCUCAACCAUACAGGCUAUUGUUCAAACUGUACAACUUGAGAGUGGUAGAGGUCACUGGAAUUUCUUGUGUAGGAGUGAAAUCCGUAGAUAUAAGAAGGAACACCGAUGGCGUAGGCAGGUGACUGGACCAUUUCUGACGCUAAGGCACGAAAGCGUGGGGAGCGAACCGGAUUAGAUACCCGGGUAGUCCACGCCGUAAACGAUGGAUACUGGCUGUUGGAGGUAUCGACCCCUUCAGUAGCGAAGCUAACGCGUUAAGUAUCCCGCCUGUGGAGUACGGCCGCAAGGCUAAAACAUAAAGGAAUUGACGGGGGCCCGCACAAG